CGGCCCUCAGACUGGAACAUCAGCUCCCCGCCGGGUCUCCAGCUGCACGGCCCUCAAACUGGAAUAGUUUGAACUCAGCGGGGAGCUGAUGUUCCAGUUUGAGGGCUGUGCAGCUGGAGACCCGGCAGGGAGCUGAUGUUCCGGUUGUAGGGCUGUGCAGCCGGAGACCCAGGGGGAAGCUGAUGUUCCAGUUGUAGGGCCGUGCUACUGGAGACCCAGGGGUGGAGCUGAUGUUCCAGUUUGAGGGCCAUGCAGUUGAUGACCCGGCGGGGAGCUGAUGUUCAAUUUGAGGGCCAUGCAGCUGGUGACCUGGCAGGGAGCUGAUGUUCCAGUUUGAGGACCGUGCUCCUGGAGACCUAGCGGGGAGCUGAUGUUCCAGUUUAAGGCCAUGCAGCUGUAUGCCCGGGGGGAACUGAUGUUGCAGUUUGAGGGCCGUGCAUCGGGAGACCCGGUGGGGAGCCAGUGUUGCAGGUUGAGGGCCGUGCAGCUGGAGACCCUGUGGGGAGCUGAUGUUCUUGUUUGAGAGCCGUGCAGCUGGAGACCCUGUGGGGAGCUGAUGUUCCUGUUUGAGAGCUGUGCAGCUGGAGAUCUGGUGGGGAGCUGAUGUUCCAGUAUGAGGGCCGUGCGGCUGGAGACCUGGUGGGGAGCUGAUGUUCCAGUUUGAGGGCCGUGCACCUGGAGACCCGGCAGGGAGCUGAUGUUCCAGUUUGAGGGCUGUGCAGCUGGAUACCGGGGGUGGAGCUGAUGUUCCAGUUUGAGGGCCAUGCAUCUGGAGACCCAGUUGGUAGCCAGUGUUGCAGGUUGAGGGCUGUGGAGUUGGAGACCCGGGUUGGGGGGAGCUGAUGUUCCAGGUUGAGGGCCAUGCUGCUGGAGACCCAGCGGGGAGCUGAUGUUGCAGUUUGAGGCGGUGCAGCUGGACAUGCAGGGGGGAAGUGAUGUUGCAAUUUGAGGGCUGUGCAGCUGGAGACCCUGUGGGGAGCUGAUGUUCCUGUUUGAGGGUCUCGGAGCUGAUGUUCCAGUUUAAGGCCAUGCAGCUGGAGACCCGGUGGGGAGCUGAUGUUCCAGUUUGAGGGCAGUGCAGCUGGAGACCCGGCGGGGAGCUGAUGUUCCAGUUUGAGGUCCGUGCAGCUGGAGAUCUGGUGGGGAGCUGAUGUUCCAGUUUGAGGGCCCUGCAGCUGGAGACCCGUGGGGAUCUGAUGUUCCAGUUUGAGGGUGGUGCUGCUGGCGACCCAGGCGGGAGCUGAUGUUCUAGUUUUAGGGCCCUACAGCUGGAGACCCGGGGAGGAGCUGACAUUCCCUUUCGAGGGCUGUGCAGGUGGAGACCUGGGGAGGAACUGAUGUUGUUCUAAUUUGAGUGUGGUGCAGCUGGAGAUCCAGGGAUGAGAUGGCCCUGCGGUUCAAAUAUGAGGGUCCCGGAGCUGGACUCUACGUGAGGAACCAAUGCUGCCUCUGAUGUCUUAGGUUGUGGAGCUGGAAACUCGCGGAGGAGCUGGUAUUGGUGUUUCUAGUUGAGGGUCGUGGUAUUUCCAGGGUUUCACAGAGGCCAGAUUUUAUUUCAGUUACUCAGAAGAGAAAGAAAAUGUCUU
rnacentral:lncRNA from 1 species